UUAAUGCCAUUAGAUGGAUGGCUUGGUUCGAGAUGCUGAUGAAGGGCGUGGCAAGCUGCGAUAAGCUUUAGUGAGGCGCAUGCAGCCUUUGAACUAAAGAUUCCUCAAUAGGACUUCCUCUUCUUUGGAAGGAUCAUUGUUGAUCGGGAACGCGGGGAAUUGAAACGUCUUAGUACCCGCAGGAAAAGAAAUCAAUUGAGAUGUCGUUAGUAACAGCGAGUGAACACGACAGAGAGCAAACUGAAUCCCUUAUUGAAAGAUAAGGGAGAUGUGGGGUUUGGACUUCCUUUUAAUUGCUGUUUGUUAAUCUGAAGUUUCCUGGAAUGGAAUGCUACAGAGGGUGAUAGCCCCGUAGGAAAAACAAACGUGGUGUGGGAGUAUCCAGAGUAGGGUCUAUCGGGAAUUAGGCCUGAAUAUGGGAGACAUCAACUUCUAACUCUAAAUACAUCUCGAGACCGAUAGCGUACUAGUACCGUGAGGGAAAGCUGAAAAGAACCCGUAAAAGGGAGUAAAAAGAUCCUGAAAUCUAAUGGUGACGGUAUGUUACGGCUUCUAGGAGUUGUGACGUACGUUUUGAAUAACGGACCAGGGAGUUUUCUUGUGUGGCGAGCAUAAUUCUGUUAAGGAAGCAUGCGAAGGGAAACCAAUUACUCGCACGUGAGGAGGAGUAUGGUAUGAAAAUGCCAUUAGUCACAUGGGAAUGACCCGAAACCAGUGCGAUCUAGCCGUGGGCAAGGUGAAGUAGGGGUAAAACCUUAUGGAGGCCUGAAGGGGUGCUGUGUACAAGCGUUCCUAUGACCUGCGGCUAGGGGUGAAAAGCCAAUCGAGCCUGGUAAUAGCUGGUUCCUGUCGAAGUUGGCCGAAGUCAAGCCUCGGAGGAGAAGCCUAAAAUGGUAAAGCUACGGAUUUGGGAUUUAGGGGGAGAAAUCCCUCGGUUUCUUGUCCAACUCAUAAUGUUUUAGGUUCGUAGAUUCCGGGAGACGGCGGGCCGCGGUAAACGUGGUUCGCGAAAGGGGAACAACCCAUACUUUUGUUAAGGUCCUAAAAUGUUGGUUAAGUGUUAAAGGCAAAAGGUGUAUAGCACCAUAGACAGCAGGGAGGUAGGCUUAGAAGCAGCCACCCUUUAAAGAAAGCGUAACAGCUCACCUGUCAAGGUGCUAUGCCCUGAAGAUGGACGGGGCUAAACCAACUACCGAUACAAGAGACUUCCAAAAAGGGAGUGGUAGACAGGCGUCCUGCUUGAGUCGAAGUUUUCUCGUGAGAGGAAAUGGAUCGAGUAGGAAUGAGAAUCCUGGUGUAAGUAGGAGCUGUUCAGAGUGUGAAUCUCUGGUACCGAAAGGGCAAGGGUUUCUUAGCACUGCAGGUCAGCUAAGAGUAAGUCGAUCCUAACCGACCACACAACUCGUGUAGAGGGAAAGGGAAACCGGUUAAUAUUCCGGUACCGUCUAACUACUUAUGGUGACAUUAGCUUAGUUUCUGACUCUUCCGGCUAGAUCUGUGCAUUUUUCUGCACUAACUAUGAUAGGUCUGGGGAGUGUUAUAAUAACGAGAACCAGAUCAAACUUAGGAAUGGCUUCCUUAGAGGGAGUUAGAUCAACGCCAGGAGGCCAUGAAAAAGAAACUAGGAUGGAUGUUAGACGUUCGUACCCAGAACCGGCACAGGUGCCUCUAGGUGAGAAGCUUAAGGUAUGUGAGGGUAAUCUAGCUAAGGGAACUCGGCAAUCUAGUCUCGUGCCUUAGGCAUAAGAGAUCCCUGCGAUUGUAUCUGCAUAGAUGCGAUUACAGGGUGCAAUGACUAGGGGGGUCCGACUGUUUAACAAAAACGUAACUGACUGCUAGCCUGUAAAGGUGCGUAUAGUCAGUGACGUCUGCCCAGUGCUAGUAUCCGAAACUUCAGUUCAAUGGAGUCAAGGACUAGUAAACGGCGGGAAUAACUAUAAUUCUCUUAAGGUGGGAGUGCUGCUUUAAGACCCAAGUUAAACAGAAUAACUUGAAGAAUGGGAUAUCAAUCUGGCUAUAUGCGGGAACGUCUGAGUAUCUCAGAGUACAACGAUAGAUUAUCUAGGUCGCGUAACAAUUUCGUGAGUGCAGAUAAUUCGCAGGAAAGACUCUAUAAUCAUUAUAGAGAAUCCUCAGAGACUUUACGCCAGACUUCUUAGAAAAGUUCUAAGAGGAAGAUAAAGUCCGAUCCUUAUAGCGAUAUAAGGAAGUUAUGAGAAAUCAUAAUUCGCCAGAUAUUUUAUUUGGUUAGUAACUCUAUUGAGUGAAGUAACAGAACGAGCGUAAUACCUUGCCGAUUUAUUGUCGGCUUGCAUGAGUGGCGUAACGAGAUCCCCGCUGUCCCUAGCUAGAACCUCCCGAACACACUAUACUGGUGCAAAGGCCAGUGACCUCCAGCGGGAAGCGAAGACCCCGUAGAACUUUACUACAGCCUGCUGUUGCGGUGUGAACUGUGUUGUGCAGAGUAGGUGGGAGCCGUCGAAACCUUAUCGUAAGGUAAGGUGGAGGCAACGAUGAGACACCACCCUACAUGGUUUAUAUCGCUUACUUGUUUUAACAAGGACAUCGGUUGGUGGGUAGUUUGGCUGGGGCGGCACCCUGCUGAAAGGAUAUCAGCAGGGCCCAAAGGUCAGCUCAGAUGGGUCAGAAAUCCAUCGUAGAGUGCAAGAGCAUAAGCUGGCUUGACUGUAUUCCUAACAGUAUGGAAUGCAGCACAGAAAUGUGGGUCUAGCGAACCCCUAUGUCCUCUUUGAUGGGGGCUAGGUAUGACAGAAAAGCUAUCUCGGGGAUAACAGAGUGGUCGCGCCUAAGAGCUCAUAUCGACGGCGCGGUUUGCUACAUCGAUGUCGGCUCGUCGCAUCCUGGGCGUGCAGCAGCGCCCAAGGGUGGGGGUGUUCACCCAUUAAAGCGGCUCGUGAGCUGGGUUCAGAACGUCGUGAGACAGUUUGUUCGAUAUCUGGUGGAGGUGUGUGGUGUCUGAGAGGAAGGACCCUUUAGUACGAGAGGAACAAGGGUUCGAGGCCUCUGGUGAAUCUGUUGUCUAACAAGGCAGGCAGAGCAGCUACGCCUCAACGGAUAACGGCUGAAAGCAUCUAAGCCGGAAACCGGCCUCAAAAAGAGACACUAUUUUCAAGCUCUCGUAGAAGACGAGUUUGAUAGGAUCGGGGUGUACGCACCAAGGUAACGAGGUGUUUAGCCUGCGAUUACUAAUCGCUUGAAUUUAAGGU
rnacentral:rRNA from 1 species